GACACUCUAGCUAUAAUUUUUAGAAAGUAAACUUAGCUUUCAGUUUUUAGAUUGAAAGAAAAUGACAGUUCUUUUCGAGGACAUCAUACCAAGUGAAAUAGGAAAUGGAAGAAGUUCGCUACUUGGAGAGAUUAUGAAUGGUUCUGAUACUGCCAAAAUUGGUCCCUGCUUCACUGUAACAAAGUAUUGGAACAGUGGAUGUCUUACAGAUUUAUUAAAGUGAAAGUACAUUUUCAGAGAGAGAGAGAGAACUCAUGUGUACGCAGGUUAAAAAAGAGAGCUCAACUCACUUUGCAAUAGUCUUUAUACCCCACAAGAUGGACGUGAGUGGAGACCCAAUUUGAUGUUCUGAUUGGUCUUGGGCGGGAUACCAUAUUUGCAUGGGGAACAGGUUAUAUGGUGGUCUGGUGAGGAAGGGGUGACAUCCCUUCUCUAGCAGGGAGUGAGCAGCCCAGGCUGGUCAAGGUGGGGGAAGGGGCAUUACAAUGAGACUUGGCCAAAGGCUUUUGGAUUUAAUCUCCUAGAAGGGGACUUGAAGCCUAUAACUGUUCUGUGGUUUGUGUGGAGAGGGUUCUGGAGUGUUCCUCUCUUUACCUCUGUAGCAAGAAACGACAGAUGUUUCCCCUUGUUUAUAAAUGAGUGAAGGGUCAGGGAAGUGGAGUUGGAACAAGAAUUACUUAGGUUUCUUCCACUUUAAGAACAAUAAUACCUAUUGUACAGGUCUUGCUAUAUACUGAGCAUUUUACCACGUAUAAUGCUCAGCACAACCUUGUUAGGGAUAUCAAUAUCCACAUCCUGUUUACACUUGUGGAAAUCUAGGCAGUAAGAGAUAAGUACCUGGCCCAAGAUCAUGCAUUUAGUUUUGAGUCAGAAGUAAAAUGCCGACUUGUGUGGCAACAAAUCCUUUGUUGUUAAUUUCUGACCUCUACUGUUGGUCUUUAAAAGCCAGAUACUGUUUCAUGCAAUUGCACUCAGUGAGAUAAUUUUUUUUGGUCAGCAUUAUAGAUUAGUACAUUUUGGUUUGUUUAAAAGAAAUUCAUUCUUUCCUGUUAGAGUUGCAAAUAUGUUCAAAGUUACAUAUAAAUGUAACUAUAAUACAUAGAACUCUAAUAGAAGCAAAAUUAAAUAUGGAGGACAUAUCAAUAGUGCAUAUUUUGAAAAACAUCUAACAGAGAUUGCCAUGGGUUCGAAGUACCUGAAUUAAUUUUUACAGUUGUUGUUGUUGUUUAAUAAGGACACUUAAACCAAUAGAUUUUAGUUACUGGCACAUAGCAGUGAAAACCCAGGGAACUCGUCUAGUGCCAAACUUUGCUCAAGGCCUGUUCCAUUCAGGUGAACCUUAGCCUGCAGGGAUAAACCUUGGCCUGCAGGAGGGUUUGUUGACAGCUGACAACGUUGAUUUAUAGAGAAAAUAACCUGAGUAGAUGAAUCUCACUGGCAGGAUCCUGUACUUAGGAUGCUAAGGAAUAAAAAUUACUAUCAAAGCAGCUCAGAGAAGUUGAGUCCAGUUCCAGAAAUGCUGAAUCUCAGGUCUCAUUCUAGACUGGCUGAAAUAACAUGUGCAUUUGUGCAAGAUCCUUAGCAAUUUGUAUGCAUAUUAGAGAUUGGUAAGUGCCACCAAAAACAGGAGAUCCAAAGGAAUUUUUAAUUCAUUCUUGCAAAAUUGUGCUUUGGUCUUCAAAAGAUGUUCAUCAGAAUCAGCUGCGAGGCUUUAAAAAGAUACAUUUGCCAGGCCAUUGAAUGGCAUGUUGCAUAAGUUUUCUUAGGACAUCAGUCAAACCACUCCACACACACACACACACGUAAACACUACUCCCAAGAUAAAUACAUUUUAAGAUGUAUAUGGAUGAUUCUAAUAUGAUCAAAAUUUGAAAAACCUGAGUUAAAUCUAGCAGAUGCAGAACAGGUCAUCUAAUAUAGAAUCCUUCUGAGAAAGGAGGUUUUUUAUCCUAACAUUUACUCAAGGGCCAUCAGUUCUAAACUUAUUGGUCAUUUAAAGUCUGGUGGAAUGCUACUUCAUUCUUAAAAUCUUUUCUCAAUGCCUAUUUCUUUCAAAGUAAAAGUAUUAUUUUUCCUUUAAAUCCCCGCACAUCUUUACCUGUACCUCUGCUAUGAAACACUUCACAUUGUUCUGUACUAUUAUGUACACUGUUGAUGACAUACAUGCUCAAUUAUCAUUAUAUUUUCCAUAAUACCUAGAAGGUGAUUUAAAAUGUCACAUAAUCAUCAGUAGGUUGUGAAAACAAAGGAAUAGACAGAUGACUACAUGAAAAUCAGUGUCAUAGAGUCAAAUCUCAGAUGAACAAGGAAUUAGGAGACUUAGGUAAAGACCUUGAUAUGCUAUUAAAUUAAUUACGGCCUUGCGUUCACUGAACCUCUCUUUUUCACCAGUUCAUUUUGUAGAAAUAUUGCGUGCAAUUUCUAUUGACUCUUGGCAGUGCAUAUAAGCCUUGAAACAAAAUAAUCAACUAUUUUCUUGAACUAAUUUUACGUUUAAAAAGUAACUUCAUGUGUCUCAAAUUUACUUAUACCUAACUAAUCAAUCCAUAACAUCAUAGCCAGUUCUUCUUAAUUAUUGUGAUUACAGAACAGAGAUAUCAUAGAACAUUCAAUUUUCAUAUUCAAGUAUGCCUGAAUUCUAUUACAUGACUCUAUUAAUUUUCUAUGCUGUGUAAUAAAUUAUACAAACUUAGUGGUUUAACAGCAUAUACUUAUUAUCUUGCAGUUUACUAACAGAAGUCUCGGUAGGGUUUAGCUAGUUUUUCUGCUUUAGUGUAUAAAUUGCAAUCUAGGUGUUAACUGAGAUUGAGGUCUCAUCAGAGGCUUGACUGGAGAAAGAGCUGCUCUGGGGUUCUCUAAGAUACUUUGUUUAUAACCAAAGGAGACAAUUUCACUAAGUUUUUUGCUUCUUUAUAACUAGGUUCCCCCUUCCUUCUGAGCCAUAAAUGAUAGCAGCCUUCACGUCCAUAUUUCUACAAGUCUGUUCAAUUUGAUGUAGGCUCUUUUGUGCUCAUCAAAAUUCUUCCAGCUUCUUCCCACUUCCUAGUUUCAAAUGCACUCUCACAUUUUAGUCAUUUGUUAUUUUGCUUUUGUCCAUUAGAACUUGUGAUGCCAAAAUCAUUAUCAAUUUUCUAUUGUUGUGUAACAAUUUAACACAACACAUUUAUCUCACAGUUUAGGUGGGUUAAAAUUUCAGACCUUAAUUCUCCAUCCAAGUCCUACUCCGAGACCCUCUGGUGUCUGCCCAUUGUCUUCUCUUCUUGUUUACAUCAUGGGAGCUAGGGUCUUGCCCUCUGCUGAUGACCCCAUGGCCCCACUCAGGGCAGUCUAUUCAGGUUGAAGGGUCAAACACAGUGAAUAUGGAUGAUGGGGAUGGCUUACCUGGGUCCUCUACUCAGAGUCUUACAAGGCUACAGUCAGCUUUUCAAUUGGACUAUGUUCUUGUCUGGAGACUCCUCUAGGCAAUGAUCCAAUUCAAAACUCAUUCUUUGUGUCAGCAGAAUUCAUUUUCUUGCAUCUGUAUGAACAAAAGCCCUGGCUUAUUACUGUCUAUGGAGAGGAUUAGGUAAGAGAGGAUUUUUUGGUCUGCCUCAGGGGACUGAUAGCUGCCAGAUGACAGACAGCAAGAAAAUGGAGAAUUUAGUCCUAUAGUUGAUUAGAACAUGAAGUCUACAAACAAUCUCAGGGAGCCUGGAAGGGGACCAUUCCCUAUUCAACCUUCUGAUGAGAGUUCAGUUCUGGCCAACACCUGGAUGUUAGUCUGGUUCGACUUGUGGAGUGAUGUUUGUAACCUUUAUUUUAACGUUCUCAUCUCAUUUGCUACAUGAAUCAAAAUAAUUCAUUCAGUUUUCCUACUUAAUUUCUUCAUAUGUAGAAGAAUGUAUUAUGAUAGUUAAGCACACAGACCCUGCAAACAGAAUCCUAGGUUCGCAGUCCUAGCUUUGCUCUGUGUACUAACUUCUCUAAGAAUAGGUUUCUUUUCCUAUAUAAUGCUACAAUAUCAGAGUUGUUUACCUUUUCACAGUGACAACUUAUUGGAUGAGUUUUAAUUCACAGUCUGUUUAUUCUUUUCAUUGCUAUAAAUUCUAAAAUUUGAAGACUCAGGAAAUAAGGGAAAAGGAAGAAAGCCAGCAUGUUUGCCAUAUCUAGGCAUCAAAUAAAGCAUAAUUCUUGGUGGCAUCUUGCUGACUUUUAUUGUUACCUCCUUCUUUAUUAACGUGAUGCUUUUAUCUAACCACCGUCGUAUCAGUAGUUUCAGUUAUGCUUUCUCACUCAUAUUUCUUUCUCAUUAUUUUCUGUGUCUUUACUUUUAUAAGCAUCUGUCUUGAUCUGUUUGAAUUGUUAUAACAAAUACCACAGACUGGGUGGUUUAUAAACAACAGAAAUUUAUUUCUCACAAUGCAAGAUUGGAGUGUCAGCAUGUUUGGGUUCUAUCUUCUGGAUUGCAGACUGUCAACUUCUUGGUGUGUCCUCACCUGGUGAGAAGGUCCAGGGAGUUUUGUGGGGCCUCUUUUAUAAGGUCAGUAAUCCCAAUUGUGAGGGCUCUUUCCUCAUGAUCUGAUCAGUUCUUACAGGCCCCACUUCCUAAUAUCACCUUGGGGAAUAGAAUUUCAGUAUAUUAAUUUUGGCGAGAUAAAAUGUUCUGACUAUAGCAAUACCCCGAUGUCUGUCUCAGAGUCAGCCAUUUAAAAUUCCAAAGAAACUAGGUGCAAAUAAAUAAAAUCCCUGAUAUGGGAAUGUUUAUAAGAACCUGAUGUGAUGGGAUAGACAUUAAACUAGUAUCAGAAGAUAUUGGUUCCUGUUCUGUCUCAAGCACUAACUUGCAAGUUAAAGAAUAUUUAAGACCCUCAAUUCCUAUAUCAUGUGUGGGGGUUAAACCAGAGCCUAAUUCCCUUUUAACUACCAAAUCUAUGUUUCUUUAUUGUUUGGAAUAUAUUUAAUUGAAAAUGAAUGUCUGAGCCAGAAACAAGGAUGGGAUGAGAAAGCCCUUUUGAGUGAUACUAAGUAGCUCUCUUACCUGAAGGUUUGUGAGACUUCCCAGGGCAGCUGGGAAUAGAUUUCUCCGAAGUGGCAAAGACUGUCCUUCUCUUUCACCCUCCAGCUCUGCUUGGGAGUUAACAUCACAUAUUUCAUCUAGCAAUGUGAAGCGAUGAUGGAAAGAAGGGCUUUUCUUGCUUACCACAGUUAAAAAUGGGUUUCCCAAAUCAGAGUCUGGAGAGCUGGGUUUUUGGAACAUCUUUUAAGAACAAGUAAUCUUUAAAUGAUUAUGCUUUUAAAUAUACAAACCCCAUAUUUCAUGCCUAGAUUCUCAUCAGUAUUAAAGAAAAUUACUAAAACUCUUUUUACUUGCUUAAUCUUUAUUCAAGGCAUGCACGGUGUUUCUUUAAGGAUGCAUUGUGCGAUGAUUGUUAAAAUUAAUUAUUACCUACUAUCAAUAGACUUAAAAAAUAAAGUACAUUUAGGUCCUUUAUACUUAAACAGUGAUUUCAAAAAAUGUAUAAACACAUAAAAUGUAGUUUGAUAAGGCUUCAUAUACACAACUUUCAGUGUAAAACAAUCAAAUGUGACAUCAUUUUCCAUUAUUAUUGAUUAAAAAAACUAAAAUCCAGAGUUGCUGUGGCAUAGGCCUGGGAACUUCCACAUGCCACAGGCAUAUGGCAU
rnacentral:lncRNA from 1 species